AGUUAAAACAAAUGAAUUUAUGAAUAAGCUUAUUGGCCACGUAUUCACAUACAAGGAAUUUGCCUUGUUGCUCCGCCCGCAAGUGACAAC